rnacentral:rRNA from 1 species
CAGUAGCCACGGUAAUACGUAGGUGGCAAGCGUUGUCCGGAAUUAUUGGGCGUAAAGGGCUCGCAGGCGGUUUCUUAAGUCUGAUGUGAAAGCCCCCGGCUCAACCGGGGAGGGUCAUUGGAAACUGGGAAACUUGAGCGCAGAAGAGGAGAGUGGAAUUCCACGUGUAGCGGUGAAAUGCGUAGAGAUGUGGAGGAACACCAGUGGCGAAGGCGACUCUCUGGUCUGUAACUGACGCUAAGGAGCGAAAGCGUGGGGAGCGAACAGGAUUAGAUACCCCAGUAGUCCCUGUCUCUUAUAC